AGUCAAGUAAUUAAGUGCAUGUGGUGGAUGCCUUGGCAGUCAGAGGCGAUGAAAGACGUGAUAGCCUGCGAAAAGCUCCGGGGAGGCGGCAAAUAUCCUUUGAUCCGGAGAUGUCUGAAUGGGGGAACCCACCUACUUUAAGGUAGGUAUUGCAACAUGAAUACAUAGUGUUGCAAGGCGAACGAGGGGAAGUGAAACAUCUCAGUACCCUUAGGAAAAGAAAUCAAUUGAGAUUCCCUCAGUAGCGGCGAGCGAACGGGGAUCAGCCCAUUAAGUUAUGUGUGUUUUAGUGGAACGCUCUGGGAAGUGCGAACGUAGAGGGUGAUAUUCCCGUACACGAAAGGGCACACAUAAUGAUGACGAGUAGGGCGAGGCACGUGAAACCUUGUCUGAAUAUGGGGGGACCAUCCUCCAAGGCUAAAUACUCCUGACUGACCGAUAGUGAACCAGUACCGUGAGGGAAAGGCGAAAAGAACCCCUGUGAGGGGAGUGAAAUAGAUCCUGAAACCGCAUGCAUACAAGCAGUGGGAGCACCUUCGUGGUGUGACUGCGUACCUUUUGUAUAAUGGGUCAGCGACUUAUAUUCAGUAGCGAGGUUAACCGUAUAGGGGAGCCGUAGAGAAAUCGAGUCUUAAUAGGGCGUUUAGUUGCUGGGUAUAGACCCGAAACCAGGCGAUCUAUCCAUGAGCAGGUUGAAGGUUGGGUAACACUAACUGGAGGACCGAACCCACUGUCGUUGAAAAGCCAGGGGAUGACUUGUGGAUAGGGGUGAAAGGCUAAUCAAGCCUGGUGAUAGCUGGUUCUCCCCGAAAGCUAUUUAGGUAGCGCCUCGGACGAAUACCAUAGGGGGUAGAGCACUGUUUCGGCUAGGGGGUCAUCCCGACUUACCAAACCGAUGCAAACUCCGAAUACCUAUGAGUACUAUCCGGGAGACAGACUGCGGGUGCUAACGUCCGUAGUCAAGAGGAAAACAAUCCAGACCGCCAGCUAAGGCCCCAAAAUCAUAGUUAAGUGGGAAACGAUGUGGGAAGGCAUAGACAGCUAGGAGGUUGGCUUAGAAGCAGCCACCCUUUAAAGAAAGCGUAAUAGCUCACUAGUCGAGUCGGCCUGCGCGGAAGAUGUAACGGGGCUAAAACUAUGUGCCGAAGCUGCGGAUGUAUACUUUGUAUACGUGGUAGGGGAGCGUUCUGUAAGCCGAUGAAGGUGUGUUGAGAAGCAUGCUGGAGGUAUCAGAAGUGCGAAUGCUGACGUGAGUAACGACAAAACGGGUGAAAAACCCGUUCGCCGAAAGACCAAGGGUUCCAGUCCAACGUUAAUCGGGGCUGGGUGAGUCGACCCCUAAGGCGAGGCCGAAAGGCGUAGUCGAUGGGAAAAUGGUUAAUAUUCCAUUACUUCUGUGUAAUGCGAUGAGAGGACGGAGAAGGCUAAAUCAGCCUGGCGUUGGUUGUCCAGGUGAAAGGAUGUAGGCAUGUAUCUUAGGCAAAUCCGGGGUACUCUAUGCUGAGAUCUGAUAGCAAGCUGUACUUGUACAGCGAAGUGGUUGAUGCCAUGCUUCCAGGAAAAGUCUCUAAGCUUCAGUUACACAGGAAUCGUACCCGAAACCGACACAGGUGGUCAGGUCGAGUAGACCAAGGCGCUUGAGAGAACUCUGCUGAAGGAACUAGGCAAAAUGGUACCGUAACUUCGGGAGAAGGUACGCUGUUGUUGGUGAUGGAACUCGCUUCCUGAGCUGACGACAGCCGCAGAAACCAGGCCGCUGCAACUGUUUAUUAAAAACAUAGCACUCUGCAAACACGAAAGUGGACGUAUAGGGUGUGAUGCCUGCCCGGUGCUGGAAGGUUAAUUGAUGGGGUUAGCGUAAGCGAAGCUCUUGAUCGAAGCCCCAGUAAACGGCGGCCGUAACUAUAACGGUCCUAAGGUAGCGAAAUUCCUUGUCGGGUAAGUUCCGACCUGCACGAAUGGCAUAAUGAUGGCGGCGCUGUCUCCAGCAGAGGCUCAGUGAAAUCGAAAUCGCUGUGAAGAUGCAGUGUACCCGCGGCUAGACGGAAAGACCCCGUGAACCUUUACUGCAGCUUGACACUGAACUUUGACCUUACUUGUGUAGGAUAGGUGGGAGGCUUUGAAGCUGGAACGCUAGUUCCAGUGGAGCCGUCCUUGAAAUACCACCCUGGUAAUGUUGAGGUUCUAACUCUGUCCCGUGAUCCGGGACGAGGACCGUGUCUGGUGGGUAGUUUGACUGGGGCGGUCUCCUCCUAAAGAGUAACGGAGGAGUACGAAGGUGCGCUCAGCGUGGUCGGAAAUCACGCGUAGAGUAUAAAGGCAAAAGCGCGCUUAACUGCGAGACCCACAAGUCGAGCAGGUACGAAAGUAGGUCUUAGUGAUCCGGUGGUUCUGUAUGGAAGGGCCAUCGCUCAACGGAUAAAAGGUACUCUGGGGAUAACAGGCUGAUACCGCCCAAGAGUUCAUAUCGACGGCGGUGUUUGGCACCUCGAU
rnacentral:rRNA from 1 species